GGCAAUGGGGGCAGAGAGGCAGGCAAGUCUGGGCUCGGCCAGGGAGCUCCGGGCCUGGCGCGCGGCUGUGGGUGCCACGCGAGGACUGGGGUGCAGUAGAGACUGCCCGCGCGCGACUCCAACCCGAGAGCGAGGGUCGAAAACCACAGAUAAUGGUGCUGCUGGAUCAUUGCUAUUUAAAGUAGUGGAGAUGCCCAAGGUCACAUGGCCUAUGAAAAACUGCUCUCCCUUCCAAGGACCCAGUGAUCUUUAGACCAGCUCAAGUGUCCGUCCUGAAACUCGAGUCUGAGUUUCACUCAUCUGGAAACACUCAGCAGCAAGCAUCAGCCCCUCCUCGUGACAGAGGUGCAGCUUGCUCUCUCUGGACCCAUGAUGCUCAGGACUUUCUUUAGCACCAAUGAAUGUCUGGCAUUCAGGCCUGAGUUCCAGCAAGUAGCCUGGGCAGUGGAUGCAUCACUGUAACAGACAGAAUUGAUGGGGAAAAAUGCCUACUGCCCCAAGGACCCUGAGUGGCUCUUGCUGCCCUGACUGCCCCCCUGGGAGUUGUCUUCAGGGUCCCUCAGAAACCCUUACAAUCUACCACCACCAGAGAAACUCUUGCUUCAGCAAGGCAUAUCUGAGGCGCUUCUCUGGAAUUUCUGCCAGUGGCCAUCCUGAGUGGCCCGGGGUGUGGUUGGAUUUUGGACUCCCAAUCCUGCUCUCGAUACUUGCUCUCCACACAUCACCAGAAAGCGUCCAGGCUCAGCGCACUUCUCCAUUCCGUUAUUGCCGCCCAUGAGCUCCCUCCUGUUUGGAAUUCCUUGGAUUCUAUUUCCAUUCAUCCGACAUACAACUGUAUGCAAUCUCGGUUUUGAUACAACUUUCCCAGCCUGUGAUGUAUAUUUCUCUGGUUUUCUUUGAAAUGCCCAGCGUGAAACAUAUCUAAUGCAAUGUUUUGUACUCUUCGUGACACAUAGCUGUCAGGGGAUUCAAAUCACAAGAUAGAAUGUAAUACGCCGUGGGGGAGUAGGGGGACCCCACACACCCUUGAAACAGAAGGAUGUUGCUGAGAUGGUCCAGUGCCUUACCCUGUCAUUCUGAUGCUCAGUCAGAAAAUAAAAGCUCUGGUUGAAUUGGC
rnacentral:lncRNA from 1 species